ACUUGGUAGCCCUCGGGCUGCUUGUAGGGAUGUUGGAUGCCCGGAGGCUUUGCCGGCAGCCCAGGGCACUCCUUCCUCGGUGUCUCUCAGCUCUGGAGUGCCUUGUGCAGCGGGGCGAGAGUAAAGCAGCGUUUCCUCACCACCCGAGGGCUUUGCCGGGCACGGAUGGGCUCGGAGCGGGGGCUGCAUGGGAGGAGCCGGGGCUCCGCUAGCCUCAUUAACCGGCUUCCAGCCAACCCCGCCAAACCCAAAGCCGGCCGGCUGCCACCUCCUGCCGCCCUCCUCCCGAGGGACCCGCCGUGCCAGCCUCCGGCACCCGGGAGCGCUGGGAGGUGGGAUGCGACCGCGGGCAUCGCCCCUCCGGGCACCGGCGCCAGCGGCGAGGCCCGGCGGCGGAGCUGGAGAGCUGGAUCCCGCUGAGAGGAUGAAAACAUGGGGCUCAAGUUAUCCUGCCUGAAAGGCUUGAAGAUGUGUGUGAGCAGCGGGAGCGGCAGCGACGGGACCCCGAGGGCGGGACAGAAGCACCUGCACGUGCCCUCCAUCAUCGUCACACCUCCCACGCCCACGGGCACCACCACGCUGGCCCGGCGAGGCGAGGGCCCCUCACCCUGCAGCCCCUGCUGAGAGGGGACACGGGGGACACCCAGCCCGGCAGGACCUGUCCCUUGUCAGGGGACACCCAGCCCGGCAGGACCUGUCCCUGUCACGGGGGACACCCGGCCUGGCAGGACCUGUCCCUGACACGGGGGACACCCAGCCCGGCAGGACCUGUCCCUGUGUCAGGGGACACCCAGCCC